rnacentral:lncRNA from 1 species
UCUCAAGUGUUCUUUAAAUUUUGGGAACAGAUGAAAAUCUGAUGGAGCAAUGUCAAACAUCUUUCAUACAGUUUUCAGAAUCCAGUUUUUUGAAUAUUGCCUGCACUUGCUUCCAUGAUAUGCCACUUGACAGAUAGCUGUUUUUGUAUUAUGUGACACUUCCCUCUAAUGAGUUCAACAGCAGAUUCUGAUGAGCUUCAUCAGUUGUAGUUUGUGGCCUUCCACUCCAUUCAUUAUUAUACAAGUUGAGAAUCACACCACUGUUUUUUUUUUCAUUACAAGCAUGAACAUUGACAGGCAAACAUCACACAGCAGUGAUAUGUACACAUUUAUCUCCAUAAAUAGCCUUUAUUCUCCAAUGAAUGUCAGUUGGGAGUCGUAUUUUCUGCAGUUAGAAACUCUAUCAC